AUGGACGGCACACCAGACAAAUGGAGAGCAAAAGAAAGAACAAAAGAAAGCGAGAAAGAAAAUAACAAAAAACACAUGAUAACAACAGCAGGAUAACAGCAACAGGAUACCAGCAACAGGAUAACAGCAGCAGGUUAACAGCAGCAGGUUAACAGCAGCAGGUUAACAGCAGCAGGAUUACAGGAUACCAGCAACAGGAUACCAGCAGCAGGAUAACAGCAGUAGGUUAACAGCAGCAGGUUAACAGCAGCAGGAUUACAGGAUAACAGCAACAGGAUACCAGAAACAGGAUACCAGCAGCAGGAUAACAGCAGCAGGAUAACAGCAGCAGGAUAACAGCAGCAGGAUAACAGGAUAACAGCAACAGGAUACCAGAAACAGGAUACCAGCAGCAGGAUAACAGCAGCAGGUUAACAGCAGCAGGAUAACAUAAACAGGUUAACAGCAGCAGGAUUACAGGAUAACAGCAACAGGUUAACAGCAGCAGGACACCAGAAACAGGUUAACAGCAGCAGGAUAACAGCAGCAGGACACCAGCAGCAGGUUAGCAGCAGCAGGAUAACAGCAACAGGUUAACAGCAGCAGGAUUACAGGAUAACAGCAACAGGAUACCAGAAACAGGUUAACAGCAGCAGGUUAGCAGCAGCAGGUUAACAGCAGCAGGUUAAAAGCAGCAGGAUAACAUAAACAGGAUAACAUGAUACCAGGAGCAGGAUAACAGCAGCAGGAUAACAGCAGCAGGUUAACAGCAGCAGGAUAACAGCAGCAGGUUAACAGCAGCAGGAUAAUAGCAGCAGGUUAACAGCAACAGGAUAACAGCAGCAGGUUAACAGCAGCAGGAUAACAGCAGCAGGAUAACAUAAACAGGAUAACAGCAGCAGGUUAACAGCAGCAGGAUAACAGCAGCAGGAUAACAGGAUAACAGCAGCAUAAUAACAGCAGCAUGAUAACAGCAGCAGGAUAACAGGAUAACAGCAGCAUGAUAACAGCAGCAUAAUAACAGCAACAGGAUAACAGCAGCAGGAUAACAGGAUAACAGCAGCAGGAUAACAGCAGCAGGAUAACAGCAGCAUGAUAACAGGAUAACAGCAGCAGGAUAACAGGAUAACAGCAGCAGGAUAACAGCAACAGGAUAACAGCAGCAGGAUAACAGGAUAACAGCAGCAGGAUAACAGCAACAGGAUAACAGCAGCAGGAUAACAGCAGCAGAAGCAGCCCUAACCAU